rnacentral:rRNA from 2 species
GACGAACCGUGCAAACGUUGUUCGGAUUCACUGGGCUUAAAGGGCGCGUAGGCGGGUCAGCAAGUCCGGGGUGAAAUCUUUCGGCUCAACCGGAAAAGUGCCUUGGAUACUGCUGGUCUAGAGGGAGGUAGGGGCAGAGGGAACUUCCGGUGGAGCGGUGAAAUGCGUUGAUAUCGGAAGGAACGCCGGUGGCGAAAGCGCUCUGCUGGACCUCUUCUGACGCUGAGGCGCGAAAGCUAGGGGAGCAAACGGG